rnacentral:lncRNA from 1 species
CUCGCAACAAAGCCAGACUCGCCCCUCUCGCUAACUAAAGGAAUGGAUUCUAUCUCUUUCAAAUAUAUCAUAUAUAUCAUAGGAAUUGCCCCAAACUCUAUCUGACUUGCCUUGACUGACACUCGUAAACUGCUCCUUUAGCCUUGAAUACAGUUUCACUCAGGAAUAGAUGACUAGGUUCUUUAAUGCCUCUCUUCCACGCGCAUUGAAUUCAUUUGAAGUUCUAAGAAAUACCGGCACCUGAGUUAGCUAGAUACUAGGCCUCCACUAGCUCUGGCAACAAUUCAUUGAACCCUGCUGGCAUAUUCAACUCUCAGUAGUUGGUUUACUUUAUUUAUAAGAAUUCAGUUAGAUGCCCCGUUACUUGCUCUCUAAAGAAUUCCAUUUAGGCAGCUUCACCCUACUUCUAGGCCUUAGCAACAGUAGCAACCACAAGAGCAUAAGGAGAUUCCACUCAAGCAGCUAGAAGAUACCACACUUCAGAAGAGCAUUCUCCAUCGUAAGUAACACCGUGCUUCAGGUCUCUGUUAGGGCCGUGUUCGAGCAAAGGUCGGUCUUUCAUUCUAAGAGUGAUUGUGCUGUCGUAUCUGGAAGCUCUGCGUCGGUUAAGUAUCUUCUCAGCAGGAAAGAAAGUAAGCAUUAGUGAGGUCUAGUAGCUCACGUAACUCCCGAAGGAAUUACUUGUUCAGUGCGAAAGAAGCAAGUUUCGUUUGACUUUUCUACUAUAUAAAUAAAGAAAUCAUUUCAUUAUCAACAAUCUAAUCUUCUGCGUUCAAAUCUUUUACUGGAAUCAGAUCUUAUGCGCUCGACUCGAUAGAUGAAAUUCAAAACUGUUCUGAACUGAAAGAAUAGGUUGGCAAAGGGGAAGAAGCCGUUUCAAAAGAAAGAUAAGAAGGAGCGGAUACUCGAAUUAGAUACGAGGGAGCGGUCUGAGACUCUUCCUCGAACAGGACUCCUACUUGUUGAAGGGUCAAAAACCCAUUCUUUAGCUGUCAACUCCCUUUCCACCCUAACCUGGACCACUACUUGAAGGGCCCUAUUAUACUACCACAACCCAUAUUUCUAGUUGUUGGCUUGCAGACCAGAUUGAGAGCACGAGCACUGGAUCUCUUUCUUUAUAAUCCAAAUCAGAUUCCUUUUAUUCCACCACCCCACAAAGUCAGUAAGUGAGUAUUUGUAUCCUUAGAUGGGAAAGUCAAUCACGCAAAGAAGAAAGCAAAUGACAGAUCUGGUCUACUUUCCUAGCACACUGCUUAUGAUAAGGAUCGCGAGUUCAUAAAGACUGAGUUCAUAAAGACUAAGUGAGCUCAACUCUUAACUGACCACGCCGAACAAAGCACUUGUGGAGACUCUCCCUGAGGCCAAACACUGGGGUGAACUCCGGAUUCACAGAACAGAGAAAGAAUGCUUUGAUGCAGCAAUCCGGGCAAUGAGUCAAUAGAGAACCUAGAGAAAUGGAAUCGGCUAAUGAAAUUCCAUUCAGUUUCUGGUCGAAUGGGGAUAGCACUGAGUAGGCGAGAGGGAGUAUAGAGCAGUACCGAAGUCAAUCCUUUACGGGGGAGUAUAGAGCUUAACAGUAGAGGCAAGAGCAGUUCUUGUUGUUGGCGAAAGAAAAGAAAGGAAGCUUCAAUUUCAAGACUGUCGAAGGAAAGUCUAUUGUUGUUGGCGACGAGACAGCUCCACAGCACAGUUGCGACGAGCCAGCUCCACAGUGAAAAGGUUAAGUGAAAGGUAAAGUUCCAGUCUUGUUUCGGGU